GUCGUAACAAGGUAACCGUAGGGGAACCUGCGGUUGGAUCACCUCCUUACCUUAAAGAACCUG
rnacentral:rRNA from 2 species